CAUUUCGAACUGCCCCUCCCUAUCCGCUCCUCAUUUCAAACUUUACCACAGCAACUCACCGGCACCCCCGUGAACGACGAAGCCACCGGCGGCACUCUCUAGUUCAUACGUCUUCUUCUUCUUCUUCUUCUUCUUCUUCUUCUUCUUACAAAUCUAAUGUUUUUUUCUUUCUAUUUUCAACAGGUCGAAGCAGAUCACACCGGCAGUCAGCAUUCUCUACUUGAUCUGCCGACAUUUGACGUUAAGGUCCUCAGGAGAUUUCCUGCAGUUUUCAGUCAAUGUGUAGGAACCUUUCUCAGAGCUCAGAGGUAAUGGAUCUGAAGUUUGUCAAAGCCAUCCACUAGUUGAGUUGCUCAACACAUGGAGGGUGCUUUUUUCUUCCGCUAAUUAUCACUUUUCUCAACUCAUGAUGGACUCUGCUUGUUAAAAGCGGGAAUUUUUUGCAUAUACAGUCAGCAAUACAUCUUACAGUCCAUGUUAAAUUGAUAAUAUCAACCAUUUUUUGAGUUUAGAUUUAUUCAUAUUCGUUUGUUCUUCAUUGCGAAAUACAGAACUCAUUCUUUUAUAUUUGAGAUGUAAUAUUCCACCAUUGUACAGAGUUUUUCAUGGCCCAAUUCAGGGGUCAGUUAUACGCAGAGAAAAAAAUGGAUACAUACGUUUUCCUUA